rnacentral:rRNA from 1 species
CUGGCGGCAGGCCUAACACAUGCAAGUCGAACGAGGACCCGGAGCUUGCUCCGGACUCCUAGUGGCGGACGGGUGAGUAACGCGUGGGAAUCUGCCCAGCAGUACGGAACAACCGCGGGAAACUGCGGCUAAUACCGUAUACGCCCUCCGGGGGAAAGAUUUAUCGCUGCUGGAUGAGCCCGCGUCGGAUUAGCUUGUUGGUGGGGUAACGGCCUACCAAGGCGACGAUCCGUAGCUGGUCUGAGAGGAUGAUCAGCCACACUGGGACUGAGAUACGGCCCAGACUCCUACGGGAGGCAGCAGUGGGGAAUAUUGGACAAUGGGGGAAACCCUGAUCCAGCCAUGCCGCGUGAGUGAAGAAGGCCUUAGGGUUGUAAAGCUCUUUCACCGGGGAAGAUGAUGACGGUACCCGGAGAAGAAGCCCCGGCUAACUCCGUGCCAGCAGCCGCGGUAAUACGGAGGGGGUUAGCGUUGAAGCCC